GAAAUGCGAUACUUGGUGUGAAUUGCAGAAUUCAGUGAAUCAUCGAAUCUUUGAACGCACAUUGCGCCCUUUGGCAUUCCGAAGGGCAUACCUGUUCGAGCGUCAUUUAAACCCUUCAAGCUCAGCUUGGUCUUGGGCGUCUUGUCUGAAUUAGACUCGCCUUAAAAUUAUCGGCGCUAUUCUGCCAAUUGUUGGAGCACAGUACAUUGUUGCUAUCCAUUGAAGCAAAAUAGCUGCUAGAAUGAAUGUUUUUUCAUUUGACCUCGGAUCAGGUAGGGAUACCCGCUGAACUUAA
rnacentral:misc_RNA from 1 species